rnacentral:rRNA from 1 species
UACGUAGGGGGCGAGCGUUGUCCGGAUUUAUUGGGCGUAAAGAGCGUGUAGGCGGCUUUACAGGUCCGUUGUGAAAACUCGAGGCUCAACCUCGAGACGCCGGUGGAAACCGUAAAGCUAGAGUCCGGAAGAGGAGAGUGGAAUUCCUGGUGUAGCGGUGAAAUGCGCAGAUAUCAGGAAGAACGCCCGUGGCGAAGGCGGUUCUCUGGGACGGUACUGACGCUGAGACGCGAAAGCGUGGGGAGCGAACAGG